UGCCUUCUGUAAACUUGGCUACUUUGUUAAUUAAGUUUGUACUCGACACAUGACAGCUGCUGUAGCUGGUUAUUUAUUCUGUUAUUGAGUAUGGAGCAAAUAGAGUUCGUGGAACCAAUGAUUGGUUAAUUUCUGAGCUGAUAAUAUAAUUUACCUAUUUUAUGAAGACAAUGCUAUAUAAUGUAAGCUAUGUGGCAUUAUAUUCUUCCUAUAAUAACUUGCAUUACCUAGUGCCAUAAGGCCCAUAAUAUGAAUCUAGGGUAGAUCUCAACUGACUGUGUACAAAAAUUUGCAGGAAAGGAGCCGAUCGUUCGUAACUUUAGUGAAUGUUCCCCAGAGGCAGAUGAUUCUCACAAGUCUAUAAGAGAGGUAGAGCUGGUACACCAAAGAAGCUAGCAGUUCCUAACUCUUCAAUGAAACAGGCAUCCAGAAGUGUGUGCUCAACAACCGGGAUCACUAGAUUGUGGCUACUACGUCAUGCGUUUUAUGUACGACAUAAUAAUGAAUCAUGGUAAUAGUCAAGAUCUUACUAAGGAUUUUUCAAGAACAUUGCCUUAUUCACCGGAGGAGAUUAAUGAGGUGAAAGAUUUUUGGGCAGAUUACUUCAUGAACAAUGUCGAAUUUUUAGCUUAAUUUGUAAUAUGAACUCGAUCUCUAGCUAGCUACGUACCUUUUGUAAUAAUUUUAUGUUUGUUGUAACAUGUUGGUUGAUCU